rnacentral:tRNA from 1 species
GGGCCGUUAGCUCAAUCAGGCAGAGCACCUGACUCUUAAUCAGUAGGUUCUGGGUUCGAUUCCCGGACGGCCCACCA